UAUGUAUUGGCAUUAUGCCAUUGUUCAACAAAUGAAUAGAAUCAGUUUUUGUUCAUCAAUUUCCUCUCCAUUUUCUUAGCUUUUUCUUUCUUUCUUUAACUCGAAAUUGUUUGUUUGCUCAGCAAGUUUUAAGGCUUGCUCGACAAGAUACUUGCUGAGUCUGCUUGAUUCUGUUCUUGCACCAACAGUUAGGCAACAUAUAGGUUCGCCACAAGAUUUUUCCAGUUCGGGCAUUUAGUUUGACAAAGCUUCCUCAGAAGAUACAACAUUGUUCAAUGCUGACAGUCACC
rnacentral:lncRNA from 1 species